GGGUAAAUAGACGUUGAAUGAGAAGUUAUGGUUUGAGAUGAGAUUGGUUUUAGUAAUGAGUUCUAACUAAGGUUUGUUUUAUCACAUGAACCUUCGAUGACGAUGAUGAUGAAUUAUGAAGGCCGAGCGAGACGAAGAAGUAAGUCGCCUGUUUUCUUUCCGAAACUAGCGAAGGACUUCAGACUAAGCGAGGAGCGAGAUUGGACUGGUGCUGGUGGGGAAUUGUUAGAGGAUGUAUUUACUUUAUCGCAUUUCCAUUUUGACGAUAAAGUCUUGAUGAUUGAUAUAUACUUUGAUUUUCUUUUGAAUUUAAGCAAUGUACUCACGGUUAUAUGUCUUCAUACAUAUAAUCGAUUUGCCUUUUGCUGCGAUACUCUGCAUAUUAUUCUUCCUUACGAAAAAUGAGCUAUACCCGUUUUGUUUUUGUUCGUGAAAUUCCUGAUAUUUAUGAAGUUAUGACGAUGUUGAUAUUUUUA